GCCGUGUAUUGGAGACGAAAUAGGGUCACAGAACGAUAGAAAUGACACUGAAAUAGGGAAAAAAUGGGAAGGUAAACAUGUGAGAGCUAUUUCGUGGAAGUUGGCGGCGAAGUUAUUCCCUUAGGAUCACGUGACUGGCCUUUCUUCCUCCCUGUGGAUCUGCUCCGUCUGACGCCAUUACGAGUCAUGUCUGUUUUAUGUGAUUCCGUGGGACUUAGCCGCCGCUGUAAAGACACGCCAUGGAGAUCAAAGAGGCUGGGGAAGGAGACGGUGGCUGAGUGGUUAGCGUGCCGGUCCUGCGUUCGCUACGUCAUGGAUGAUGAGGGUUUGAAUCUGUCGCUGCCACAGACUACCUGUCCUGAAGACCACCACCAUCAUCCUGGACUGUAUGGGACUGUCCAAGGGAAAGCAAGAUGGGGCCGCUAUAAACACUUGCCGGCUUGGGCCCACCACCAGGCCCAGCCGAGGGAGGUAAGGAAAAAAAAAAAAGUAUGGCUAGGUUUGAAUAAGUUUUAGGUUAGAAUAGCUUAGUAUUAAAUAAUCUUGUAAUUAUUAUUAUUGUCAUUAAUAUCAUUGCUAUUGCAACUCAUGUUAAUGGAGAGGUAUCUUGUAUGCCCUCCUGGACGUGACUGACUCGUUCACCCUCCAUCUCGGACGACAUGUCGAGUUAGCUUCACGUUGUUGGUCGGGUGUAGUUCCGGUGCCCUGAGAAUAGGGGAACCACCUGCUGAACCCUGGGGUGAAGCCUGCACCUCAGGCAUGGCCAGAGGUUGCGGGAGUCUCCGAAACAACCGUUGGUGUAGCAGUGCCGGGAGGUUCCAUAACACAGGGCACUCCUCACCUCAACAACAGUCUCUUCACCGACAAGUAAUUCUUCACCAACAAGCUUUUCAGCAGCUUGGAGAAAUAGGUAAGCUUUCUCUACUCACUUCCUGCCCUGCCUUCAUUACCCCCGCCAGAAGCCCCCAAAGGGUGAACCCGUUAUAUUGAGCUGUAAAAUGUUCAGCAGCUCACUUAGUAACCCAGUGUGUUGUAAAAUGUUCACUACCUCCCCUUGCUUAGAGGGAAAUGCCUUUUAACCCAGUGGUUGUAGCAGCAGGAAUCAUGUUUCUUAAUGGUCCCCCCAAGCGAGAAAAAUGAGAAAAAAAUCAUCCCUCACACAAACCGUUUCAUAAUACAUAUCAAAGCACUUGUGAUCAGUAUCAUCUAUUUUGGGGGGUUUAAAUCAUGGCACAAAUUUGGCCCGUUGCUGCUACACGGUAAAGCCACAAAUUUGACCCGUUGCUGCUACACGGUAAAGCGACAAAUUUGACCCGUUGCUGCUACACGGUAAAGCCACAAAUUUGACCCGUUGCUGCUACACGGUAAAGCCACAAAUUUGUCCCAUUGCUGCUACACGGUAAAGCCACAAAUUUGUCCCAUUGCUGCUACACGGUAAAGCCACAAAUUUGUCCCAUUGCUGCUACACGGUAAAGCCACAAAUUUGUCCCAUUGCUGCUACACGGUAAAGCCACAAAUUUGACCCGUUGCUGCUACCGGGUAAGAAACAUGAUUCCCGCAGGGUUAAGCAUAGGGUGCAUGAUAUAUGUUUGCCAAAGUGCUUACUAUGCACUGGAUACAUAUUAUGCAUGCAAGAUUGGUUUUGCUUUAUAAUAUAGUUAGAUUAAUUUGAUUUAUUUAUUCAGCCCUUGACAGAGAGGAAAGUAAUAUUUCUUAUUGUACAAGGGACUUACCACAGACAUGUUGCUAACCUGAUUUUGUAUAAGUUUAAACCCAGGAAUAAGUCACCUCCAAUCCUGGCAUCAAAGUUCCUUAAGCCCCUAACUCACUCACCGGU